rnacentral:rRNA from 1 species
UACAGAGGUCUCAAGCGUUUGUUCGGAUUCAUUGGGCGUAAAGGGUGCGUAGGUGGCGUGGUAAGUCGGGUGUGAAAUUUCGGAGCUUAACUCCGAAACUGCAUUCGAUACUGCCGUGCUUGAGGACUGGAGAGGAGACUGGAAUUUUACGGUGUAGCAGUGAAAUGCGUAGAGAUCGUAAGGAAGACCAGUGGCGAAGGCGGGUCUCUGGACAGUUCCUGACACUGAGGCACGAAGGCCAGGGGGAGCAAAACGGGG